ACAAAACAAAAUAGAAUAUAUGAUUCAGAUAAUCAGAUUGGAAUAAAUAAAGAGGAAAACAAAAUAGUAGAAUCAAAACUUUUUAUAGAAGGAACAGUUAUGGGUUCCAUUAAUAAUGAAAAAACAAAGGUCUCUUCAGAUUGUUUGAAGGAAGAUAAUUUCAAGAUAUUACAAUCAUAUGCUGCUUUUCCAAAGCAUAAUGAUGAGUGGAAUGAAUUAGCCCAAGUAAUUUUAAAGG